rnacentral:rRNA from 1 species
UAUGUUGCUUCAUUGCUUCAUAUGAAUCUUUAGGGCAUUUACUUGAGAAAUUAGAGUGUUUCAAGCAGGCAUUAGCGCCUUGAAUACAUUAGCAUGGAAUAAUAAGAUAGGACUUUGGUUCUAUUUUGUUGGUUUCUGGAACUGAAGUAAUGAUUAAUAGGGAUAGUCGGGGGCAUUCGUACUUAACUGUCAGAGGUGGAAUUCUUGGAUUUGUUAAAGACGAACUACUGCGAAAGCAUUUGCCAAGGAUGUUUUCAUUGAUCAAGAACGAAAGUUAGGGGAUCGAAGACGAUUAGAUACCGUCCUAGUCUUAACCAUAAACCAUGCCGACUAGAGAUUGGAGGAUGUUAUUAAUAGGACACCUUCAGCACCUCGUGAGAAAUCAAAGUCUUUGGGUUCCGGGGGGAGUAUGGUCGCAAGGCUGAAACUUAAAGGAAUUGACGGAAGGGCACCACCAGGAGUGGAGCCUGCGGCUUAAUUUGAUUCAACACGGGAAACCUCACCAGGUCCAGACAUAGUUAGGAUUGACAGAUUGACAGCUCUUUCUUGAUUCUAUGGGUGGUGGUGCAUGGCCGUUCUUAGUUGGUGGAGUGAUCUGUCUGGUUAAUUCCGUUAACGAACGAGACCUUAGCCUGCUAAAUAGUUACCAUAAACCUUCGGGUUUGUCGGUUGACUUCUUAGAGGGACUUUGCGUGUUUAACGCAAGGAAGUUUGAGGCAAUAACAGGUCUGUGAUGCCCUUAGAUGUUCUGGGCUGCACGCGCGCUACACUGACACGUUCAACAAGUAUUUCCUUUCCCGGCAGGGUUGGGUAAUCUUAUUAAAUCGUGUCGUGAUGGGGAUAGAUUAUUGCAAUUAUUAAUCUUCAACGAGGAAUUCCUAGUAAAUGCAAGUCAUCAGCUUGCGUUGAUUAUGUCCCUGCCCUUUGUACACACCGCCCGUCGCUCCUACCGAUUGAAUGAUCCGGUGAAUAAUUCGGACUGCGGCUUUGUAGUUUACUGCAUGGCUGUGGGAAGUUUGGUGA